rnacentral:rRNA from 1 species
GUCUACGGCUAUACCACCCUUAAUGUGCCCCAUCUCAUCUGAUCUCAGAAGCUAAGCAAUGUUGGGCCUGGUUAGUAUUUGGAUGGGAGACCACCUGGUGCUGUUGUAGGCU